CGAGUAGCUGGGAUUACAGGCAUGAGCCACCAUGCCUGGCUAAUUUUAGUAUUUUUAGUAGAGACAGGGUUUACCAUGUUGACCAGUCUGGUCUCGAACUCCUGACCUCAAAUGAUCCGUCUGCCUCAGCCUCCCAAAGUAUAGGGAUUACAGGCGUGAGCCACUCCACCUGACCUUGAUUUUAUUUUUAACCAUCCUGUCUGAGAGAUUAUUUGUGGAGGCUGACAGCAGAUGUGCAGGGUUCAACAGUGCAGUAUGCUGCAUUUCUUCAGCUAUACCUCAUAUUGUAAAGACUGUCCAGGUAACUCAACAAGCGGGAGGUAAGGGUUGCAGGUGGGAUACUGUAGUACACCCCAUUGGUCUAAAGGCACAUUUCCUUCUUUUCCACCCACUGUUGCAGUCCAGCCAGGCAUAACUUUAGGAGAAUGUGGUUAGGUAAACAUGUGCCAUUUGGCACAGGGAUAUUUGAAUUUCCUGGCAUGAGGAGUGGCGGGACUUGGACUAGCUAACCAUGAGAGUGAGUUAGUAGAGAUGUGGAUGCCGUCAUGCUGAUGGCCUGCUCAGAGUAGCACUGGGCUGUAUUCGCCCAAACACCCAACAGAGCCUGGCCAAAUGCAAGGCCCAGUCCGGUCUGGGGACUUCUCUGGAAUGCCUGUGCCAGUAUAACCGGGAAUGUCCCUCAAACAGAGAGAAGCAAAUUAUUAUCUCUUACUGAGCCCUUUGCUAAACAAGAAGCAGAGCCAUGUGGACCUAUGAGAGAUCUGGAGACACAACAUUCCCCAUUGAGGAAUACACCGCCCUUGCUAUUCUGAAUUCAAAUGGGUCCCUGAACCAAUAAAAGCAUGAAUGUAUUUUCAAGAGGUGGUGCAUGCAGCUUCAUGCAGGCCUCCUGAGCCAGUCGUCCAGAUGUGGUUAGGAAUGUCUGCUAUCAGGACACUUGCUGCCUGGGAACCCUUGGCAGAGGCCAGCACUGCCACCCAGCAGGGACCUCUGGUGUGUUGCAGCUGCUCCUCAAAUGCCUCUGGAAGACAAUAGCAACUUACGACUUCCUUACCAGGAAACAGCAUCAGAUAGCCUUCAAACCAGAAAUGCCUCUCAUGUCUUGAUGUCAGAGAACCAUUCUACCAAGAGGAGGAGCAGCCCAGCAAAGUCCAUCAAACGGGCUUUGACUCCUGGACACACAUAUCUAAAGAUGGCACUGACUUCUACCAGUAUCUGACAAAAACUCAAGUUAACUGAAGGCUCGUCUUUAGACCUGGGCAAAGGGGACAACGUAAACUGCUUUCAUGAGACACAAGGACAGGACAAUUUGCUGAGGUCUGCGAGCUGCCCCUCCAGAGAAUCCCUGCUCUCCCAAAAUUUGGUCAAGAUCUCAAGUUUAUUUUGGUGUACAACUCCUUUAUUUUGGAGUUUUACUUUCUUCCAACAAGGAAGGGAAGUUUUCCUGCUUCCGUGAUAAUGGAAGGCAGGUAACUCCUUUAUGGAGUUUGAGCUCACUUCCAACAGCGAAGAUGAGAUUUUUCCUGCUUCUAGGAUGGUGGAGAGCAGUCUUCAGCCUGAGACCCAUCCCUGGGUAAGUAACUGAAUUGGGGUUUGUCUUGGCUAAAGUUAAAGUUAACAACCAGCUGGUCUUAAUUUCUUUUUACCAUUAGAGUGUUCAGUGAUCAUGUAAGUUGUGCCAUUGUUUGUUUUGCUUAAGGGUUUUUUUUUUUUUUUUGGUGUUUGUUUGUUUCUGUUUUUCCUACUGUUUCUCUUGUUGUUUCAGUCUUUUGCCCAUUGGGUUUAAUCAACUCUAUCCAACUUGAUCAACUCUGAAGGGAAGUUCCAAAUUAUGGGGAACAAGGCCUCUGAAGUGACUAAAUUCCACCCCCCGCCUCCCCUCCACACACACACACAAAAGGUGGUAUGGUUGGGGGAGAAAAACAGCCAGCAAAAGGAGAAAAAAAGGAAAGAUUUUUGAUUUUGACUACUAAAGGGGUUUUAUUUACAGAACAAGGCCACUUUUUUGCUAGCAGGCCAAACUGAAACAAUGGCAGUUGCCCCACGCUGUAGUUCCAUACCUAAGGCUCUGCUUUCUUUUCACCAUGAGAGCCUGGGUUUGGUGGGUUUGGUUCCUAAAUCAAGCCCUUUCUGGUUUGAUACUUGGUACCUCUGAAAUAGCAGCAAUUUUUUCUGACUAAAAUACGGUAAUGAAAUUUAAAUGGAUUAUUUUAAAAAGAGCUCAAUGGUUAAAAGUCAGUUUAAUUAAAAGGCUAACAUCCAAGAUGUACGUGUGUGUGUGUGUGUGUGUGUGCGUGCACGCAUAUGUGUAUGUUUGUCUUUGAAAGGUCUUCAUGUGUUUGUUUUUUGGUUGUUUUUCUCCUCUAGGACCUUGCCUUUUUUUUUUAGCAAAAGUUUUUUUCUUCUCAGUUGACUGAAUUCUGUUAUUACCUGAUUGUUUGACUAAAAUAGAUACUGCACAGAGGCUACUCUGGGGUUUUUAAGGAAGAGUGUAGUUUAGACACUUAAAAAUGUCUUUGUUUAAAACUAUUUUUUAAGUGCACUGUAAAAGCAUCACGUUGUCUAGCCUCAUAAUAAUUCACCCUUUUUGGAGACCCAGGAUUCAGUGUGGGCUCUACCCAGAGCUCAGAUAUCUGGUUAAAAAAAGAAAAACAGGUAGUCUCUAUCUAAAUAAAAUCAGUCUUCCUAUGUAAUCCAACAAUAAAUUUCUGUAAUUUUAUUACUGAGUUGGCAUCCAUCUUUAAUCUUUCUCUAGCACCACCAGACAUUUUCUCUGUGUACCUGAUAAUGUAAAUUUUGCUAUUUGACUUUCACCUGAUAUGCAGAUUUAAGGCUAUUUAGCUGACAACUGUCUAGGGUUCUGAAACAGGUUAUCAAGAAUCUGAAAGUCUAAGAUAUGAAAAAAGAGGUUUUUAUGAAUCUAUAAGAUGUACUUUUAUCAGCAUGCCUAAUAUGUCUGUAUUUAUGUGUUGUGUACACAAUGUUUCACUAUGAAAAAUAUAUAAAAGAGCUCUAAUUAAUUGGCUCAAAGUGAAAUAAUUCAAAAAGCAGCUAUAUUCAUUAAAUCAAUAUCAAUGAUUUAUACUUAAUACGUAAAUACUUUAUCAGGAAAAAAGGAAAGAUUAGUCAAAUGCUUUUUCAAGUUUGCAUAACUUAAGUAAAAUUAUUAAUAAAUGAGCUCGCUUUAAAAUUAUUGGUAAAGUAAUAUUAGAAAUGUCAGCAUACAUUUUUGUUUGCAAUUAUUAAUCAAGCAAUUUCAUACUUACCCCUGCCAAAUAGUAUAAGUUGUCAAAAUUUGGCAGAGGGUUUACAAAACUAUAAACCCGGCCCAAAACAUAAUGAUAUUUGCUUGUGUAAUCUUUAAUAAAUAAGUCAUUGAUAUUGAUUUAAUGAAUAUAGUUGCAUUUUGAAUUUAGUAAGAUUAUCAUAACUUCUAAUUCUGUGGCUUUAGGCAGUCUAGUGCACAGGCAGUAAGGAAGUUUGUUUUGAGAAAGGACUGUUAUAGUGUUUGUUUCAAAGCUAAACUAUAAACUAAGUUCCUCCCAAAGUCCAGGAAUGAACAAGGACAGCCUGGAGGUUAGAAGCAAGUUGGAGUUAGUUAGUCAAAUCUUUUUUCCCUAUCUCAGUUAUAAUUUUGCAGUGAUGGUUUCAUAACUUUAAAUCAUGACUAUCACAGUUUUCAUAAACAAUCUAGGUAAACAAGGUAAUUAGGUAAAUGUAAUGUGAUACAUACUUGUAGACAAAUUUGUCAUAAUUUAGAAUAGAAAGUUAUAUUAAAUAAUAGAUAUUUCACUAUUUAGGUAUUUUCCAAUGAAAGUAUAUUGUAGGAAAACAUUCUUGCUAAAAAAAAAAAGGUGUGUCCUUUUUAAAAAAAGGUGAACAAGUUUUAUCUAAUUUAAAGCUUAUUUAAAGGUUAUAUAUAAAACGAGGUAAAAGAACCAGAAAAUAAGAGAGAUGUAAAGAAAGUUAUAAAAAUAAAGAGGUAUUUUUUGUGUUAAGAAAGCUUAAAGAGAAAUAAUUUUAUAUGAGAAAGAAUCUUGUAUGUUAAGUUUAGUCCUAAAAUAAAAUGACUGAUUAAGAAAGAGCAUGUUCAGGACAAAAGACAAAGUCCAGGCAUGUGAUGAAUGCUCUGUAUAAGUCAUAGUAAGAGGAUUUUUUUUUUAAAAAAAAACAAAAAUUUGUAUAUGAUCAAGUUGUUUAUAAGUAAUGGGAAAUUAUAUUGCUCUUCCUAGAGAUUGGGCUUGAUGUAAAAAAAAACACUUACGCACUAAAUUAUUGGUUAGAACAAUGAAAUUUUCUUAAGGGGUUGAUUUACUCUUAACAAAUUAUAAUAGAUUUUAAUUUUUUUUACUGAAAAUUCAGCUUUUAUUGCAUCUCACCAUUUGUUGGCUUUUUCUCCCGUUUUAAAAGGCACGUUUUCCUAAAGGUCUAAGGAAACGUUUUCUUCCAACAUAAUGUUCUGUGCACUGCAGAAGGUCUUUUCUUUUGCCUUUUGGUAAAUGACCUAACAGAUUUAACAUUUUAUUGAAAUAAUUCCUAUGCCAUUAUUGUUAAAUUUGGUUUGCUUAGGAAAAGGAUAAUUUUUUUUUUUUGAGACAGAGUCUCACUCUGUUGCCCAGGCUAGAGUGCAGUGGCGCAAUCUCGGCUCACUUCAACCUCCACCUCCUGGGUUCAAGUGAUUCUUCUGCCUCAGCCUCCUGAGUAGCUGGGACUACAGGUGCACGCCAUCAUGCCUAGCUAAUUUUUGUAUUAUUAGUAGAGAUGGGGUUUCACCAUAUUGGCCAGGCUGGCCUUGAACUCCUGACCUCAUGAUCCGUCCCCCCUUGGCUUCCCAAAGUACUGGGAUUACAGGCAUGAGCCACCACACCCCGCUGAUAUUUAAUUUUUUAAAUUAAAGUUAUUACAUUUGUGUAUCUUCCUGUAUGUGCUUUUAAAGUUCUUGUGACAUUGAGUUACAGGGCUUUGACUGCUGGGUCUGAAAAGGACACCAAGUCCUGCUCAAUUUUUAAACAUUGACAGCAAUUAAAGCCCCAUCUUUGGGCCCAGUAGAAGAUGCCAAUCAAAAUCAACUGCAUUCCUGAAACACAGGGACAGAAAUUAAAGCUAUUCAACUCCUCAAGGCCCAUGGACUGUCUCGGUAGAGGAGGGUGCGUGAGAUUGUAAGGGCUGAUUUUAAAGAUAAAAUAAGUUCAAUUUCUCUAUAAAUUAAUCAUUAAUGUUGAAGGCACACUGAAGCAAGACCAGCAUAUGGGCCCCUGAGUCAAAUUAACAAGGUUUUCUUGAAGUAUUAACUGUCUCCUAUAUAAAGAUUGUAAAGGUUAUGAAAGGCUUAUGGAAGUUGUAUCUUAUGAUCAAGAUUAAAAUUUUAUAAUUUUUAAAUAAAAUUUUGAAAAACAAAUUUACUUGGCUUCUUGUGCACCUGUCCAAGAUUAAGCCCGUUUCUUAUGAGUCCCCACAGGCACCUGAGAAGGACACCAUGGCCUACACUUGUGAACCCUUAUAAUACCUAAAGCUGUUGUUUUAGAAAUAAACAGAUAAUGGGGCCAGGCGCAGACUCACGCCUGUAAUCCCAGCACUUUGGGAGGCCGAGGUGGGCGGAUCACGAGUUCAGGAGAUUGAGACCACGGUGAAACCCCGUCUCUACUAAAAAUACAAAAAAUUAGCUGGGCGCAGUGGCGGGCGCCUGUAGU
rnacentral:lncRNA from 1 species